rnacentral:lncRNA from 1 species
AUGAACUGGGAAGUAGAGUGCAUCUGUGCUUUGGCAUUAGCAACCUGGAAGAAGGCUGAGCCCGGAGCUCCGUUUCCCAGCGAGGCGGUGAUCGCCCCCUGUGACUCCCGAUGCACACAGCAGCUUAGCAGCCCGGAGCACCAGCCGCUGAAGCCCCCGACACUCGCAGCCUCCAGCCCUUCUACCUGGCUCGCUGGAGCCACGCACAAGCUCUCUGGGCACCUUGUGUGUCCCAAGCUCCGAGACCAGGCCCUCUUUACCCCAGGGAGGCAGUCUCGGGCCCUUCGACCUCUAUGUCCCCGUGUCUACUACCACGGUCACCUAGGCAGGUUCGCCAAGCUGCGACAUAAGUCAUUCGCAGGGCCCUCCGCACCCACCCGGCAGCCCUACCGGACAGUCUGCCCGCGGAUACUGCGUCUGGGUGGGACGCGCGGAGGCUCGCCCACAGGACGCCCUCCUCCGGGUGAAUCCUCACCCCCAUUCCCCUUCUCCGCCUACGGCCCAGCCCUUCUGCAGCAAGCCGCUCCAGUGUGUGCGCCCAUCUCUCCGCCUAAGACACCUGCGCUUCUCCUCCUCCCUUUCGCUGCGGUUUCUCGGCCGCCUUUGGGAGCUCAGGAGCGGCAGCUGGAGGAGGAGCAGGGAGAGGAGGGGAGGGCGAGGAGGAGUAAGGGCGGGGUGGGUGGGGAGAGAGCCGGGAGGGUGUGGACUGGCAGCCACUCUGCAGCUGGUCGCCGGGGACCGGUCCCUCCCGCGCGCCCGAGUGAUGGAGGGGAAGCGAUUCGCUUAGACACACACGCGCGCACACAGCUGGGCACGUCUCCCGGAGGCAGCUGCCGGCUCGGGCGCGCCGGGGGCCGGGCGGCGGCCGUGGCAGCGCCAGCCGCGGGGAGCGCGGCGCCCGCACAGCCUGGCACCAGCGGCCAGAGGACGCAGGAAGGGAAGAGCCCAACCCGCCCGGACUGUUGCUCUUUGGGGCGGAUCCGGAGGGAGCAGGCUGCCCGAGGCACUGUCACCGAGGACGCCCGAGGCUCUCGCCUUCCGUGA